CAACUUAAAGCUUAAUUAGUAAAGUAUUUCAUUUACAUUGAAAAAAAAUUUGUGCAAAUCAAUUUAAAUUGA
rfam:Aedes albopictus isolate Foshan contig1998, whole genome shotgun sequence.